CAGGAAAAGCAUCGACACCAGAUAACUCAAGAUCACGCUCAUGCAUAAGAGAAUUAGUAAACUGUACAGGAUUAGAAAUUGGCCCAUGCGAAACAUUAUUUGCUUGCGGCCCAAACUCAUAAGGACAUCCAUAAAGCCCAUAUUCAGCCGGUCUACCAGUACUAGCAUUAGGCCUAAAAUCAGUAACACGCGAGCCAUGCUCAUUUGGUCUACCAACAGCAGUAGCAUGCAGCCCAAAUGACGAUUCUAGCCCAGGCGCGAAUGGAAGAGGGACAUGGCCAGGCCCAACAUGCAGACCAGACCCAUCUAUGCACCCAAAACCAUCACCAACACUAGUGAAGGGAUUAGC
rnacentral:lncRNA from 1 species